rnacentral:rRNA from 1 species
AGUGAGGCGACCCCGCGAGGGUGAGCGAAGCACAAAAAAGACCGUCCCAGUUCGGAUUGCAGGCUGCAACCCGCCUGUAUGAAGUUGGAAUCGCUAGUAAUCGCGGAUCAGCAUGCCGCGGUGAAUACGUUCCCGGGCCUUGUACACACCGCCCGUCACACCAUGAGAGUCGGGAACACCCGAAGUCCGUAGUCUAACUUUCACGAGAGGACGCGGCCGAAGGUGGGUUCGAUAAUUGGGGUGAAGUCGUAACAAGGUACC